GAUGAACGCUGGCGGCGUGCCUAAUACAUGCAAGUCGAGCGAACAGAUGAGGAGCUUGCUCCUCUGACGUUAGCGGCGGACGGGUGAGUAACACGUGGAUAACCUACCUAUAAGACUGGUAUAACUUCGGGAAACCGGAGCUAAUACCGGAUAAUAUAUUGAACCGCAUGGUUCAAUAGUGAAAGACGGUUUUGCUGUCACUUAUAGAUGGAUCCGCGCCGCAUUAGCUAGUUGGUAAGGUAACGGCUUACCAAGGCAACGAUGCGUAGCCGACCUGAGAGGGGAAUCGGCCAAAAUGGAACUGAGACACGGUCCAGAAUCAUAGGGGAGGCAGCAGUAGGGAAUCUUCCGCAAGGGGAGAAAGCCUGAGGGAGAAACGCCGGGGGAGUGAUGAAGGGUUUGGGAUGGAAAAACUUUGUUAUGAGGGAAAAAAAAAUGGGAAAGUAAAGAUGCAGGUUUUGAAGGUACCAAAAAAAAAAGCCACGGCUAAAUACGG
rnacentral:rRNA from 1 species